UUGUUUUCAAUGUUUGAUUGCUCUCCAGAUUUAGGGUCCCUGAAAGCAAUGGGCUUUUCUUUUCUUCUUUUUCUCUCCUCUCUCUCUUUUUUUCUUUCUUCCUCUGCAGAAAUUAAUAAUAUCCCCUUCCCAUCCUGUGGGUGAUUCAUAAAAGCAAUUGCAUUAGAAAGUGCUUCUCCGUUGCUGCUCGUAGCCUGGGUUAAAGAUAUCUGAAGUUGAUCUGUGUGUGCCUGUUCGCAAUACUGUAAUAUUUGGAAGUGCAUCUGCAUUUGUGAAAAUGAUUUGUACUGAUGAUUCUUCCCUAGAAGAAACACUACAUAGCUGGCUGAUUGAUUGUAAUGAUGAUGAAUUUGUCCCUGGACUGGCAUGGAUGUUUUCUUUGGGGAUUUUUGUGCCUAUUUGCUACUCAUCAAAGGGAAGCAUAGACCGAGUUUGGAAUGAGGGUGUGGUCCGCCUGAUUCAGCUUCCUUCCCGGCCCAUCUCUGACUCCUGCCUCCUGCUCCUCCCCUCCCACCCUGGCUCCUCCGAUCCUUCCUAAGACUGUCAGUGAAACGGCCUCCACCUUUCUUUUCCCUUACUGCCUGUGUUGUGCUCCAUCAGGUCAGAGACCACUCCCUGUGAUCAAACUCAUCACGUUUGUGAUCUCAGCAUAUUUUCAAUCCAACUGAAAUCAACUCCUUUAGCUUCUUCCAUCCUGGGAUUAUUCAUCAACAUAGUAAGAGCAAUAAUAAUACUGUAUUUAGAAGUUCCUUAGCACAUUGCAUCUCUGAGAGUCUUACAGAUGUUACUAAUUAAUCUUCACAACACCCCAUCCAGGAGCGGUAAAUAUUAUUAACCAUAAUAGAAUAUACACACACACAUGCACGUGCACACACACACACACACACACACACAUAUAUGCUAAGGACAGCAAAAUAGUUCACUUAUUUAUCAUGGUUCACUUGAUACAGUAACUGAUAUUUUUGAGACACCCAUCAUAGAUACAAUAAUUAGAGAUGUGCUUUUGUUAACAAAACCACUACCCACUUCUAGCGUACCCUUGGGUACUAAAUAAUUACCCACUUUGUGUGGUUAUCUAGCUCACUAAUUACCCACAGAAAUUGGGGUCAGGUGUUAACUGCUUGAAAUAAGUAUCCUCUAAAGACAUCGCUGAGUUGUAUAGGAAAAAUGAUGUGUUCAUAGCAAAACUUUUGUAAGUUACGUAUUUGUGUAUCUUGGUAAACAGAGUGAAUACAGACGGGGAUAGAUUAGCUCAGUGUGUGAAAAUCAUGCUGAGCCCUUGCUGCAAAUAUACAGAGGUUUUGGAGAAGCUCAGGAAAUGUCAUUCUCUGUCUGCCUUUCCUUCGUGAAGAUGAUCACAGUCGUGAUUCCCAUAAUCUGGACUUCAUAUAUGAGGACACUAAGACAAUUGAUGAUUCUCCUUAGGAAUGGUUCAUUUUGGUGUUACAGGGAGGCACCCAGUGAGUCAAAGACUUUUCUUGACAGCUCCACCCUUUAUGAUUAUUCUAGCAUGUUUCUUUUUCUGCAUCAGUGUAGUGCAAACAUCCUAUUAGCCAAAUCUGAAAAAGAUUCUAACCCAGUCUCCAAUCCCUGCCAGCCAUCUCUUUCUCCUUCCCAGUAAUGACAAAAAGAAAAAAAAAAAAAGGAAACCCAACACUAUGAUUGUAGGUCUUUCCCUUUUUGCCUUGAUUUGUUCUGCUUUCCUCUCUCCUCCUCUCCCUUCUUCCUCUCUCUGCAUCUUCUUCUUGUUUGUGCUUUUUCUUCUUUUCCUUGGCAUCGAUCUGUGCUUCUGCAGGUCUCACAGAGACAAAGCACAAUAUCUUGAGCUGAGCACAAAGAAACCACCUUUUAAAAACAUCAACUUGGAAGAAACCUGCAUCAUCAGCUACCUCCCUCCCUUCCUCGGUCUUUACAGAGCCUGGCAUUAUAUUCAACACAGCACUGCCUGUUGUCUGCAUAAUUCUAGCCACAGAAACUGGGUGAAGGUGGCACCAUACCCACUGUGUGUUCAGAUAGGUAGAGACCCCAGUUUUCAAGGGAUACAUGCUUUACAGGAUCCUUGGGUAGCUGAGCUUUUAAGAUGUGUGCCAGCAAAAAUGAUAGGAGAUGCUCCCUUCGUCAAUUCAGGAUGUCUUUCAUUUUCUUCUUCUGCCACUUUUUUCUGUCAUCUGAAUGAUUACUUCUCAUGAUCAGGGGACUGUCAGCUGGUCAAUGAAGUGUGUAUGGAUCUGAUGGACAUUUGAAGAGAAAUGCUUCAGGAGUAAGAAAAGAUGUCUGCAGUAGAAGCAGAGGGUCAGGAUGAGCUACAGUCACUGAUACGUUCCCUUGGAUUUGGAAAUGAACUUAAGUGGUAAAUUAGUACACAAGACAAACAGAGUCAAUGUGUAAAGCACAGCCAUUGAAAAGAAAGAGGUUUUUAGCCUUGUAGUCACCACAUGCCUUAAUGGAGUGUAUACUUUAAAUACAGAUUUGAAUCACUGCUCUUUUAUCCCUCUAAAUGUCAAUUUCAAAGAAGUCCUUGGGCAUUGUUGACUUUCUGUCCGUAAAGAAAACCCACCAAGAUUCACUAAGUACAUCACCUGCAGUCACACGCAUACGUGUUUUAAAUGCUCAUGGGAUGUUGAACAAUUAGGCAGAGAACUGCACUGUGGUCUCUUCUCUUCACUGCUGCCCUCCACCCCCUCCCCAUUUUUUUUUUUUCCUUUUAGAAAAUGUGGUACCUGAUCUCUGGAUCUAGCAGGGAUGAGGGGUUUCUUGUUUUGGGGGGUUUUUUUGGUUUUGUUUUUUUUUGUAUUUGUAUAAUACAAUGUCUGGCCUUCCCCCUGACCUGCUGGUGUAUUUUCAGUCUCAUUAGUAGUCAGAGAGAAGCCCUAGUGCAUCCGGUGCUGGGAGUCAGGUCUGAGACACAGGACAACAGAGAGAGGGAGCGGGCGAGAGGAUAUUAGAAGAGAGGCUUGUCUCCAAGAUAUGGAAGGAAGUGAGAAAUGACAGGACUGCAAGCUUUGUAUGGAGGAGCCUGGCAGGGCGGGGGGGAGCGGCGAGGAGCGCAAAGUGGGUUCUCAGAAGCCCUAGAAGAGCUAAAGGUGAUUAGAAGGGGAUAUUGAUUCCUUAUUCUGCCAGCGAUUUAAGCAGGCAUGCGAGGAAUCCGCACCAUGGUUGCAAAAGGAGACCCAUUGCCUCCUGUAACCAGACACUCGGGCUUUCCAGGAGCCCAGCGAGAGAGCCGAGAAGAAAGGGGGCAGUGUGGUCUAGGAAAAUUCAACUUGUCGCUGAUUUGUGCCUGAUGCUCGCUGUCCGUCAGCAGCCUCCCUUACAAUCUUUUUUUCCUCUCUCUCCCCCCCUUUUUUUUUUCUUGCCUUCUCCUUCUUCACUGAAGCCUAGGGGAGCCAGUAAAGAUUAAAUGUGCUUUCUCAAAGGCAGCCACUUCAUGCUGCUAUGUCGAAAGGGCCAUUAUUAUUAUUAUUUUUUUAAUAGUAAAAGAAGAAGGGAGAGAGGUUGAGAGAGAGAGAGAGAAGCUAGGUAGGAUGAUGACGGACUAGCUUUUCCGAGAGGAAAAGGGAAGGGAGAGAAAAAGCAAAGACCCUGAACGGAGGAUUGUGCCUGAGGAGAACCUACGGAGGCGGCACUGGGAGCCGUCCCCGCACAGGAAAGCCCAGUUUCCAGGCAGAUGGGGGAAGCGCCGAUCUAGCAGUUCUCGGUCCUCUAUUGAAACACCUCGCCCAGGCGAGCGCCCUGCAGCUCUCAUUUCCCCCCCUGGCUCGGAUGGUGCUACGGGAGCUGCAGCCUGACUCUACUUCCAAUGGUAAGUUGCCUGUUGGAUAAAACCUGAAGCUUUUCUUACGGAGUGCUUUCUCCCCGGGCAAGGAGCGUGGCGCUCUCUCACACACUCCCGAACAAUGCUGUUGCUUGACUGAUUCCCAAACAAGGUGAACAGUGAGAAAGCUCCAUUUUUCUCGUGAUGCAGCAUUUCACUCAUAGUUGGAAAUAGCCUGGCCCCCAAAGUAUCGUAACAUUCCUUUAUUUGUAGCAAAGAGUCAAUGUGAUAACCUUCUGUGACGUGUUCUGUUAUUUUUUUAGUCGUCUCCGUGUUCCUUUCAGCUGGUCCUAUAGUCCCCCUUCCUCAGGAAUGUCUUCCCAGUGAAACAACACAGACUGCAGAAACCCUGUCCCGAUGGAUGCUAAAGCCAACUGCGAAGUGGAAACAAAGAACAUCAUCACCUGAAGACGUCUCUCCUGCCAGUCGACACACCCACAUGCUGCAGUUUUCAGCCAGUAGCAUCUCAGAACAAGAGGCAAGCUUUUCAAGAAACAGAAACCCUUAAGAAAGCUAUCUAGAUCUCGAAUGAGCAAGGACUUUCCCUUCCUCAUGUGUAUUCCUCUGUUUGUAUUUAAAUUCUGUGUGACCUUCAUUUUUUUUAAAACUUUUUUCUAGUAUGACUAUGCUUAUUAAUACGCUAAUUUUUAAAAUAGAAAAUUGUUCAUGCCAGAGGUCGGUUGCAUGUUAGCCACACACAGAGUUUGACCUUAAAAGAAUGACUUAAAGAAUAUUGAGUUCUUUUGCAAUCACAGAAUAGUAGGAGGCAAUACAAAGGAUAAAAUGAUGAUGGGAACUCAGAAUGCGUCAUCGAAAUGCAGUACCCAACUGACACCAAACAACCAGCCUUCUUAUCAGGCAAGCUAGGCUCUGUGAGACAUAGUCACUGCCUCUAAGGAGUUUAAACCUAGUUAAACAGAAGCACAUAAACUUUUGAAAAGAGAAGUUACAGAUCAAGUCAAUUCAUAAGAGCAAAAUGAAAGAUAUAACCAAGGAGCUCGGAGGAAGUCCACUUAGUCAGGGCAAACUGGUCUGUCUAGGGAAGAAAGUUCCUAAAGGAAGGAAAUACAAGGUGAAUUUUAAAGGAUGUUAAAGAUUUAGAUAAAUGGGAAGGAAGAACAUAGAAUCCUUUCUAUAGAUGCACUUUUGUGAGCGAAGUCAGAGAGGAAGGCAUCUACCUGGUGAUUUCAGGAAAUUAUGAAUGCACAGGUCCAGUUGACCAAAUCCCAGACUUCCAUUGCCAAUCUAUAUGUACAUACAUGGUGAAGACUUUACACACAUACUUCCCCUUGCCCACCUCAGGUGUAGACCGGAAUUACAAUCAUAUUUCUUCCAUUAAAAUAAGUGAGCGUGAUUGAUGAUAGUAUGAGGAUUUGUGAUUUUUCUGUUAGCCUAACAACAGUGGAUAUUUAUUGAGUUCUCCCUACAUGUUAAGCAUUUUAUAUAGUAAUUCUCUUAAGCUUCACAACAACCCUGCAAAAUAGAUAUUAUUUUGUAUUUCCAUUUUACAUAAAGAAACCUGAGGUUUAAGUAACUUGCCAAACUGCCACAUACAGGGUUCACAAUCAGGACCGUGAUUUCAAAGCUCGUGAUCUAAGGCACUAAGCCACGGUGUUGCAAGUUUCUAAUUUUGCCACUUCUGUAUUCCUUGAUAUAUUUCUGUGGUAGACGCAUAGCUAUUUUCUUUAAUUAUCUUCUCAAAAUUUUCAGUUUUCUGGUUGAACUAGCAUGGUGGAAUGUGUUUUCAUGACAGAAAUGGAAGCUACUGGGGAACAGAGUUUAUCAGCAUUUUAAGCUUUUUUUGGACCAGACUCUGAGGAGACUCUUAGCUUUGGUCAGCAUGAAAUCUUAACUUCUUGAGAACAAAAACAGGGGGUGGGGAGAGCUUAAAGGUCACCUAUUGCAAUGUUCUUUCCUACAGAUGUGAUAAACCUGUAAAGAUAGAGCAACUUACAAAAGAUCGCUCAUUGGAAUAUAACAACUAGAUCCAGAAACCAUGCCCUCAGAGGCUCUUGAACUACACCACCCUGCCUAAAUGAAGCAUGAGCUUGAAUUUCACCAAUGGAAACAUUCUGUCUGGGUGAUCAAGGAGCACCAUACCAAGUACAUUGCUUCACUUUUGGCUACGUCUUUGGCUUUUCACUUCAAUGUGAAAAAUAGAUAGUUGUGAACUCACAUCUUUAGUUUCAAAAACUGUCAAUGGUCUAGCCACAAAGAACACACAGUAGCCCAAGUUAUGUGUACAGUGUCUUCAAGGAUAUUCUUAAGUUACUUGGCAUUCUUCCUUCACCUAAACCAAUCAGAUCUUCUAAUGAGCAUUUUCUUAACCAAUUUUAUGCACAGUAUAUAUUCAUAAGAGUUUCUGCAUGAAUGUUUAAACGUGUCUGUUUUGAUAGUCUUUAUGGUUUUUGAAAAUAUCAAUGGUUAUUUGCUAUUUUAAUUGUCAGUUAUCCAUAUUGCUAACCCAAGAAUACUUCAGCCAUAAAAAACUAGAAUUAAGGAAAUCUUAGUCUUUUAUACUAGCCCCUUUGCCUUUAGUUGGCACUUAGUAAUAAUUAAUAAAGUGGUCUACUGGAGAAUACAGAGGUUCAAAACGCAAUUUUGUCUUGAAGGAGUCAGUUGAACUGUGUCUACUUGAGAGCAAGCAUCUAGACAUUUGGAAGGACCUGAAUAUUUGACUGUUGUAAAUUUCCAUUUAGCUAUCCGGCUUUGUCACACUUAGACCUCCUGGUGGCUCAGGUCGUCCUAUUUUCAAAAUGAUAAUCAUUGGCCAUCUCUCACACAGUGCUCAUUAAGUGAGUUCAUAAAUAAACAGGUUGUUUUCUUUUUUAAGCAUAGCCAAGCACAAAAUGUGACUCUGUUGACAUUUUAUGAGACUUUGUCAUAUGUCCCCUGAACCCCCAAUAAAAGCAAUGUUGCAUCAACUGUGAA